UAGGGAAUCUUCCGCAAUGGACGCAAGUCUGACGGAGCAACGCCGCGUGCGUGAAGAAGGAUUUCGGUUCGUAAAACUCUGUUGUUAGAGAAGAACAGCGCAUAGAGUAACUGUUAUGCGUGUGACGGUAUCUAACCAGAAAGCCACGGCUAACUACGUGCCAGCAGCCGCGGUAAUACGUAGGUGGCAAGCGUUGUCCGGAUUUAUUGGGCGUAAAGCGAGCGCAGGCGGUAAAUUAAGUCUGAUGUGAAAGCCCCCGGCUCAACCGGGGAGGGUCAUUGGAAACUGGUUGACUUGAGUGCAGAAGAGGAGAGUGGAAUUCCAUGUGUAGCGGUGAAAUGCGUAGAUAUAUGGAGGAACACCAGUGGCGAAGGCGACUCUCUGGUCUGUAACUGACGCUGAGGUUCGAAAGCGUGGGUAGCAAACAGG
rnacentral:rRNA from 1 species